AGAGGUAAGUGUGUAAACACAAACCUAGUUUGGCGGUACACUAGGUUUUAAGAGGACCCUGCAAAUGUGUUUCGGCGUAGAGUUUUAUCAGUUGUGUGUGUAUAUAGUGUUUGACAGAAACAUGGACUCGGGGGUCUUCUUAAUAUGAAGCUGUAAUUUAUGUCAUAGAUGGCCUUUUGCUGUGUUUUUGAGUGGGUUCACCACACUGGAACAUAGACCACUUAUAGCAAGCAGUGUUUUGCAUGAAAUAUUGUUCUGAAAACUAUUUUGUAGGCUGUUUCUGAGGGAGACCCCUGUGCCAAUACUCUGAUGGAUACCUCAUCACUUAGCAAAGAAAUGGAACAGAACAUAACCGAUGUGGGAAUGACUACGAAUGUCCAGUUGUUGCCAGAAGGACAGCAUGCAGAUGUCCUAAGAGAAGAGACAGAAGAGGUAAGUGUGUAAACACAAACCUAGUUUGGCGGUACACUAGGUUUUAAGAGGACCCUGCAAAUGUGUUUCGGCGUAGAGUUUUAUCAGCUGUGUGUGUAUAUAGUGUUUGACAGAAACAUGGACUCGGGGGACUUCUUAAUAUGAAGCUGUAAUUUAUGUCAUAGAUGGCCUUUUGCUGUGUUUUUGAGCGGGUUCACCACACUGGAACAUAGACCACUUAUAGCAAGCAGUGUUUUGCAUGAAAUAUUGUUCUGAAAACUAUUUUGUAGGCUGUUUCUGAGGGAGACCCCUGUGCCAAUACUCUGAUGGAUAACUCAUCACUUAGCAAAGAAAUGGAACAGAACAUAACCGAUGUGGGAAUGACUACGAAUGUCCAGUUGUUGCCAGAAGGACAGCAUGCAGAUGUCCUAAGAGAAGAGACAGAAGAGGCUGUUUCUGAGGGAGACCCCUGUGCCAAUACUCUGAUGGAUAACUCAUCACUUAGCAAAGAAAUGGAACAGAACAUAACCGAUGUGGGAAUGACUACGAAUGUCCAGUUGUUGCCAGAAGGACAGCAUGCAGAUGUCCUAAGAGAAGAGACAGAAGAGG